GGGCCCGCACAAGCGGUGGAGCAUGUGGUUUAAUUCGAUGAUACGCGAGGAACCUUACCAGGGCUUAAAUGUAAGUUGCAUGAUUUAGAGAUAGAUCUUUCUUCGGACUACUUACAAGGUGCUGCAUGGUUGUCGUCAGCUCGUGCCGUGAGGUGUCAGGUUAAGUCCUAUAACGAGCGCAACCCCUACCGUUAGUUGCCAGCAUGUUAUGAUGGGGACUCUAGCGGGACUGCCGGUGCAAACCGAGAGGAAGGUGGGGAUGACGUCAAAUCAUCACGGCCCUUACGUCCUGGCUACACACGUGCUACAAUGGUAACGACAGAGGGCAGCCACCACGCGAGUGGGAGCGAA
rnacentral:rRNA from 1 species